ACUCUGUCUCAAAGUAAAAAAGGUUAGCACUCCUCUUCACAAGGACAGAGAGUCCCUUGGGACUAACAAUACCCACAUGGUUAAGACUUUGACACUUACUUGUU
rfam:Mesocricetus auratus contig102062, whole genome shotgun sequence.